rnacentral:lncRNA from 1 species
GCCUCCCGAGUAGCUGGGAUUACAGGUGCCCACCAGCAUGCCUGGCUAAUUUUGUAUUUUCAGUAGAGACGAAGUUUCACCAUGUUGGCCAAGCUGGUCUUGAACUCGGAUCUCCAGUAAUCUACCCGCCUCCGUCUCCCAAAGUGCUGGGAUUACAGGCAUGAGCCACCGCACCCGGCCACUUGCUUCUUUUAGAGAGCAGGCUUUGUGCACCUACCAGUGUUGAAAUACACUACCUUAAUGGUUAUGCUUCUCCAAAUUUGAUAUAGUAUUUGAUUUUUAAAUGUACCAUACUCUUGAGUUCCUGACCAGUACACUGUUUGAAGGAUGUCACAAGGACGUGCAUUUGAAAGUCUGAAUCCACAAAUAUGUAUUGUGCUCUAAUUGCCAGGCCUGGGCUUAGAUACUGGGGAUACAGCAUUGCAGCAGGGAAUUUGCAGAAUGAAAUGGAACCGUGAAGAAAGGAAAUGAAAAUAAAUCACCCUGUUUCCAUAGUCACCUCCCCCACACUAGUGGACUAUUCUCUCUUAAUCGGCUCCCUCAAACUCCUGCCUCUAGGACCUUCAUUCUCUCUGACUUCUUUGAUCAUGGAGCAGUAAGAUCACCAUAUGUUGGAUAUUGUUAAAUAACAUGAUAUGUUGGGAAAAGUCAUGCACUAGGAAUGAAAAAAAAACAUACAGCUAGCUUCAGCCCUGGCUCUGCCACUUGACAAAAUCCAUAACUUUCUACAAAACUUUAAGAUCUGAAUCUUGGAAUCUUAGUUUCCUAAUCCCUAGAAUGGAAUAAAGAGUCUUACUUGGCAACUCCACAGGUUCAAGAUUCCAGGCCUCAGUUUUCUCAUCUGUAAAUUGAGGGGUUUGACCUAGAUUUACAGCUUGCAAAUUUUCCUUAGAAGUGAUUCCCCAUUUAUAACAAAAUCCAACAUAAAACCCCAACAUAUAAAACAGAUAAAGACAGACUUGCUUUAAUGGCCCUGAGGCAGAAAGCUCUGAGUCCUAUAUACUCUCUUCUCCUACCUUUUAAAGGCCUUGAGGCAUCUGUGCAGAACCCUGGGGUUUCACUGAACACAGUUGGAAACUCACUGUGCUAGGUGAUUGUUUUAAAGUACCUUCCAUUUCUAAAAUUCUAUAAAUCAAAAUUUCCUAACAUUGUAUAUUUCUAUGAUGAGAUUUAACCCGUUUUCUUUCUUCAUUUAUUUAAUUAUGUUAUAGGAGAUAGUCGCAAGCUAAAACCAAAAUAUCUUUCAUCACUCCCUCCCUAUUUGUAAAGCCAAUCUCUCUGCCACAGGGAGGAAAAAAGAUGUUGAUGGAACACGUAUGGUGUAAUGAGAAAAACACAAUGGGGAUGAGAAGAUAUUAGUUCCAACCUUGGUCCUGCUUUUAACUAGUUCCAUAACUAGUUAGCUUGAUCAAGGAAUCUUAUUAACCUACCUAAAUCCAGAAAAUUAAGAGGUUGGGUGACUUAGUAAUCACAGUCAUGCACAUGAGCAUUGCGGGAGCCUGUGCCCUCAUGGCCUUCCUUAAAUAAUUCAAUUCCAACUCAGCCUACAGGCUGACUUGCUUUAUCAACCUUUCUUCAAUAUAUAUAUCCUCACCCCAGAGGGAAUGAAGGGUGAGAAGACAAAUUAGGUUGUAAGUGACACCACCAGGACAUCAAAAUAGAAAUAUCAACUCAAUCAUUGUUAUGUUUGCACAGAUGGUUCAAGCCCACAGCACGCCUUGACCCCAGCUCACCACGCAGGAGGCACAUCUCCAUUAAGACAGGGUUCAUGCAAUAUACACGUUCAUAAGGGCAAACUACAAAAUCUUAAAAACCCCAGAGUUUGGAGAAUGUUUAAAGGAAACAGUCUGGGUUAAGGACCCAGGACCUGGGGUUCAACCAAAAGGAAUGACCCCACAAAGGACAAACAGUAUGAUUCAUUGCCUCUGAGUGUGCACAUCCUGGGAAAAGGCAACUUUAGGGGUGGACACAAGAACAACAGCUCUGGUCAUGGCUGUGACUUGGUUAUAAGUUAACUUUAUGGGUCACUGAGUGUCUGGAAACAAACUAUAAAAAGAAGAAAGGGUGGCCCAGGCAGCUUUCUGUUGGAAAUGGCUGUGACCAGUUGCUUCUGGAAGGGAGAUGUAUUGACUGCAAUAAAACUUGAUAGGCUCAGCACUUGUCUGUUAAGGCUAGAAUCGGAAGUCAACUUUGGACCUGAGUAAUUGGUAUAAAUUUGUGUAUAAGGGCAAGACAGAAGGGAUUUUAUUCCAAGUGGUCAACAAUAUGGUGUCCAGCUGCUGCAUAUGAUCUGCCUUCUCUCUGACCUCUAAUCCCACGAGACUAUCUGCAUCAUCUGGGGUAAUCCUAAUAUCCAAGCAAGUGGAUACACUUUCACUGUCACCACACUGGCUUUUGUUUUUUCCUUUAAUCUUUGCUGUUCUUAGGAAUAGCAGAACAUUUAAGGUAAAAAUAAAUAAAUACAUCAUAGAGACUUGCUAUUCUUAACUAUGUCUGUUCUUGGGAAAACAAAUUGUACACAAUGUUAACUUCUAGUCAAUCAUCCUCUUUAACUUUAGUGUCAUUCGGUUAGCCGACAAUUAUUAAGCACACACUUGCACAUAUCCAGUGUCAUAGAGUCCAAAGUUGUAGGCAAUAAAUAUAAAACAAGAUUAUGCCAGAAAUGCUUCAAAAAAUACACAUCAUGUUUUAUACUUAAUUAUUUUUCAAGCUUGGUGGCGGGAAGUUCGGGGUGGGGGUGGUGCAUUGUAAGUUGUACUCAAAGUAUGAUGUAGAAAAGCCUUGAGCUGAGUUUCAGAGGCCAAGAAGCUCAUUUUAAAUAUCAUUAUCUAUAGCUGUGUGGCAGCUGAACAGAACAUCACAUUUCUGAGGCCCAGUUUUUUCAUCUGAAAGACAAACGAGGUCGAACUGGGUCAUAGUCCAUAUCACAAAGCUUAACAAUAAUAGUAGCCAAUAUUUUUUGAGACAAGCACUUUGCUUUAUCAGUUACUCCUCAUAAGAACCCUAUGAUGUAUGCAUUACUAUUUCCCCCAUUUUUCAGAUAAGGAAACUGGGUUUUGAAACUUAACCAAGGUCACACAGUGAGUAAGUGGCAAAUCUGACAUUUAAACCUAGUCUUUCCCAGCUCCCAAGUUGCGCCCAACUGUUUCACAAUACUGAACUGCCUGAGAGUUUAUCUAGGAAGAAGAUAAGAUUUUUUUUACUUAUUCAGGUUUUCACCUUGACUCCCUUAGAGCUGCAAAUAGAAGUCAUCCCUCCAUUGGCUAGCACAAUGGGAUCUUCAGAGACUCUCUCAUACGUGGAUGCUGAAGGAAAAGAAGGUCAGAAGAGUAAAGCUGUCCAUGCCGGCUGGACAUGAACAAGGAGGCUGCCAUCCUAUGCACAGCCCCCUACAUGGCUGGUAGCCAUCUUGUGAUCAUGUCAGAAGCCAGGCUUGGGGUGAUGUUGACUCUGAGGAGGCCAGAGAGGCAGGUGGAGCCAAACCAGGGGAUAUUGUGUAGCCACUGGAUCCAACCCCUCCUGAAGCCAACCCAUCUCUGGCCCUUUCAGUUAUAGCAGGCAAUUAAAACCCUGUUGUGCAUAAGUCAGUCUGAGCAUGUUUUCUGUUGGUUGCAAGAAAGAUGCUCCCUACUUACCACCUUACACCUUACACUGUGAUACGUUGCCAAUUUAAGCCAGAGUUUUGGUGAUUGUGUCUGUUUCAAGAAGACUAUCCUCAGCUCAACUCAGGUCCAUCUAAAUCAUCUCAGAGGAAAAUUCAAAGCCCCAAGUCCUUCAAGGUACCCAAGUCUCCCCCUCCUGGUUUCUUUGCUGCCCAGGUGCACAAAGUGUGUCCCAGAGUCUAAAGAUAGAUGUGGAUCAGCUAUGGUCUGGAUGUUUAUGUUCGCCCGAAAUUCAUGGGUUGAAAUCCUAACCCCCAAGGUGAGGUUAUUGGGAGGUAGGGACUAUGGGAUUGUUAGGUCAUAAUGGCAAGACCUUCGUAAAUGGGAUUAGUGCCCUUAUAAAAGAGGCCUGAGAGACACUCCUCGUCCCUUCCACCAUGUGAGCACAUGGCAAGAAAGUGCCAUGUAUGAACCAUAAAAUAGGCCUUCUCCAGAUAUUGAAUCUGCCAGUACCUUAAUCUUGGACUUCUCAGCCUCCAGAACGGUAAGAAAUACAUUUCUGUUGUUUAUAAGCUACUGUAUUAGGCCAUUCUUGCAUUGCUAUAAAGAAAUCCCUAAG